rnacentral:lncRNA from 1 species
UCAGCGAUACCAGCUGCACCGCGACUGAUAUGCCACAAAACAACGAACAUCAGAGACCACGUGACCACGGCCAACAUUACUUAAGCGCGCAGCUACAUACCUUCGAGGGAUUUGAAGCCGGCACGCUGGCCCACAUGAAGCUCAUGCCUCUGUUGGUACUGCAGGUUGCUGCCGCAUUUCGAGCCGCGCCGGAUUUCACUACGAUCGGUCAAGGGGCGGUUGUCCUGUUUCUUCCAAAGGCGCUUGCAGCAGCGUCAUGUCACCGACCUACAAGGAACUGCCUGGAUGCACCGCCAGCCAUCACCGACGAAAGGCAUCUCAGCGAUACCGGCUGCACCGUGACUGUUAUGCCAGAGAACAACGAACAUCAGAGACCACGUGACCACGGCCAACCAACCUUAAGCGCGCAGCUACAUACCUUCGUGGGAUUUGGAGUCGGCACGCUGGCCCACAUGCCUCUGUUGGCGCUGCAGGAAUCUUUGAAGCUUGCACUCAUCACUCUCCUGGUACUCUGCCUGUCAC